AAAUAAUGCAACAAUUUAAAAGACAUCAAGAAUAUGUCACUUACUAAAAAUGUAUUUUACUACUUUAUGAAGUUAAAAUCAUGUGUGACAUAUGUCACACCUGUGACAGGUUGGUUGGUUGUUAAAAUAUUAAUUGUACUCAUUAUUAAUAUACUGUAACAGUUUAUAAG